UAUAUAUGGAACCCAUUAAGUGGAAGUUACUUCUCAAAUCAUUCUUGUCCAUUGGAUCAUGCUGAAAAUAAAUCUUGACCCUUUAAACUCCCAAAAAUAACCACUCCCAUGGCGGUUUAGAGCGGUUGUUUGCGGUUUCUCCAACAAUUGGUUACCUCCACCUUUUCCUACCCAUUAUCUCCACAACUUUAGGGGUUACCUCAUAAAUUUCCUGCCCACUAUUAUUAUACUAUUGUUCACGAUGAGUUAACCGCCAUAUUGAGGAUAAUAACCGUUUUUGUAAUGAUCUCAGCCGUUCAAAUUUGACGGCUGUUUCUAAGAUUAAAUCCUAACCAUAAUAAGUAGGUGGUUAUAUAGAGGUUAAUUUUUAUGCAGAAUAGUUUGUAAGUUUUGAGAGGUUAUUAGAGGUUUCCAUCCCACUCCCCACUCUCUCUUCAACCUCUCCCCCACCCAUUAUAAAUCCCCAUCCCCCACGCCCUGCUUUCUCCUCCGCAACCACCUAAGCCACCCAUUAUAACCCUCCACCCCCACCAUUGCCAGGUUUUCUUUCUCCUCUGUACACAAAUUGGAUGAUCAUCUCACUAGAUCCAAUCAUCGGCUUUCAAAAUUCUAACAUUGGAUCUUCUUCCAAGUUUCCCACAACCCACUCUAGAAAUUGGCGAUUCAUCCCUAAUCAGUCAUCGUCUCCCUCUCGUGAUUUAAGGGCUUUUCGAAUCGGACCAAGUCGUUCGUAGUGCCGCUGAGCUCCGUCACAUUACUGAUCUUCAAUUCGAUUCAUCCAGUGCCAAAAUUACUGCAAUAAGAUUGAGUGGAACAUCAGAGAAGGCUUACAUUAGAUCUUAUAACGUGAAGCCGAACAGAAUCGGUGUCAAGAACAAGGCUAUUUAAUUUGGAUUUGUACAUGUAAUUUGGGUGAAAAAGUAAGUGAUUGGUUCUUAUAUGAUAUCCUUAUUUAAGCUGGACGGGUAGUUGACUCGCACAUGGGUAUACUUUUUAUGCAACCAAGUCCGUCUAAAAGUCUAAGAUUCAGAUUUUUCUUACUUUUUAGUUUCUUUGUGCUCUUAAUACUCUGGACUUUUUGGCUUAGUUAUAUGUCGAAGACAUAUGUUGAUGGUAGACACGAAGCCGAUGACGCUUUGCAGUCUGAAUUAAGUAUAAUGGUUUGGUUCAUUCAUUCACUGACUUGACACUUCUAAUGGGGUUUUCUAAUUACAGGAAGUUAAAAAUCUUGACACUUCUAAAACUUUGUCUAGCAUUGGUCCAAAUGCUAUCUUCAAGUUUCUGGAAUGUUACUUAGAUGUAUUGUUGAUGUCUGGGGCAUACAACAUGACAUUCAGCCCGUUUGACCCAUUCACUUAGGCUUUAGUAAAGACAUUGGCUACUGAGGAGUUAUUUUAGCAUUGAUGCUCCAAGUCACGAACAUGCGCAACCACUUCCUGGUGACAAAAAAGAAGAUGAUUAUCUUUUGGAAGUAUGCAAUCUUUGCCAUGCUGCAGGAAGAUGAGGGACUCAGGGACCUCAUAUGUGUGUCGUUCCAUCCAAGGAGUUUCUUCGAUGGCUAAUCGUUCUUUGCACCCCUACUUGAAAAACAUCUUUAAACUUUUUUACUAGAGGUGUGGAAAAGAUUAGGCCAGUUCAAGGAAUGCUUCGGAGGUUUCGUACUUUAUUCAACUUACGAAGUGCGAUUCGUGGCAAUAAUAGUAAGGGACAGUAUGACCUAUCAGUUAAGAUAGUACACGAAAGCGAAGUCAAUUGUCCUCCUUUCUCAUGUAUAAUAGCUAAAGUUAUUUAUCUUUUUAUAUGAUGUUUAUAAUUUAGUUUUAAUAUUGUGUUGUCAUCUUUUGCAAUAUACCGUUUCGUAUAUUGAAAUGUGGUCUUGAAGAGAUUAACAAAGUUAUGCAAGAGUUUAAAGGCAUGCUUUCUUGGUCUACUGAAGAUCCCCAAGACGCAUCAAGGUGUGUGUUUUCAUUCGGUAGGUUUAAAAGACUAUGAGUAACAUCUAUUCGGCAGACAAGCUCUAAAGAUUGACUAGCAUCUGUAUUGGGUUGAAAAGUCAACACUUUUUAUAAAUAUAUUUAAUUUUGUAAAUAGUUAUUUUGCUGAAUUAGUUACAUAACUAUUGCUGUA